UGGGGAAUAUUGCACAAUGGGCGCAAGCCUGAUGCAGCCAUGCCGCGUGUAUGAAGAAGGCCUUCGGGUUGUAAAGUACUUUCAGCGGGGAGGAAGGUGUUGUGGUUAAUAACCGCAGCAAUUGACGUUACCCGCAGAAGAAGCACCGGCUAACUCCGUGCCAGCAGCCGCGGUAAUACGGAGGGUGCAAGCGUUAAUCGGAAUUACUGGGCGUAAAGCGCACGCAGGCGGUCUGUCAAGUCGGAUGUGAAAUCCCCGGGCUCAACCUGGGAACUACAUUCGAAACUGGCAGGCUAGAGUCUUGUAGAGGGGGGUAGAAUUCCAGGUGUAGCGGUGAAAUGCGUAGAGAUCUGGAGGAAUACCGGUGGCGAAGGCGGCCCCCUGGACAAAGACUGACGCUCAGGUGCGAAAGCGUGGGGAGCAAACA
rnacentral:rRNA from 1 species